rnacentral:lncRNA from 1 species
AGGUAAUCUGUACAGAUCACGGGUCUGUUUCUCACAUUUAUGGAAGUUGACAAGUCCGAGAUCUACACUCUGCCUCCAAGAGGGUACCUGGUCUUGUGCCAGAAGAGCAAAAGAGGACAGAGCCUCUGCUGGCCGCACUGGAUCCAUAUUGCGUUUUGCUGAAAUAGCUUGGCAGAGUUGUUUCUCUCCCUUGAACACCUUGAUCCCUGUGAGCCCUUAUAAUUGGCUGUGCAACUCGAAUAUGCAAAAAGAUCCCUUGAAGCAAGAACAGGGAAAAAGAGAAACAAAAAUAGGCAAACAUCUUUUCUGGUUUGGCUUUCGAGGAUUGCAAUCUUCAUCCAAGUAGAAGACAUCAUUCUUAGGAAUGUUCUUCACCCUCGGGGAUUUCAUCUCGUGCCUGCAGGUAGGAUGAAUGUAGCUCAGUAAAGCAUAACAUUUCAGAAUUAUUAGAUACCCAUUUUU